rnacentral:tRNA from 1 species
GCCCGGAUGGCGAAAUUGGUACACGCACAACACUUAAAAUGUUGCGACCGUAAGGUCAUGUGGGUUCGAGUCCCACUCCGGGCA